AUUGAACGCUGGCGGCAUGCCUUACACAUGCAAGUCGAACGGUAACGCGGGGCAACCUGGCGACGAGUGGCGAACGGGUGAGUAAUGUAUCGGAACGUGCCCAGUUGUGGGGGAGUAACUGCUCGAAAGAAGCAGCUAAUACCGCAUACGACCUGAGGGUGGAAAGACGGGGGAGUCGCAAGACCUCGCGCAAUUGGAGCGGCCGAUAUCAGAUUAGGUAGUUGGUGAGGUAAGGGCGUCACCAAGCCGACGAUCUGUAGCUGGUCUGAGAGGACGACCAGCCACACUGGGACUGAGACACGGCCCAGACUCCUACGGGAGGCAGCAGUGGGGAAGUUUUGGACAAUGGACGCAAGUCUGAUCCAGCCAUGCCGCGUGCGGGAAGAAGG
rnacentral:rRNA from 1 species